rnacentral:rRNA from 1 species
UACGGGGGGGGCAAGCGUUGUUCGGAAUUACUGGGCGUAAAGGGCUCGUAGGCGGCCAACUAAGUCCGACGUGAAAUCCCCAGGCUUAACCUGGGAACUGCGUCGGAUACUGGAUGGCUUGAAUUCGGGAGAGGGAUGCAGAAUUCCAGGUGUAGCGGUGAAAUGCGUAGAUAUCUGGAGGAAUACCGGUGGCGAAGGCGGCAUCCUGGACCGACAUUGACGCUGAUGAGCGAAAGCUAGGGGAGCAAAUGGG